rnacentral:rRNA from 1 species
ACCGGCGGCCGAGUGGUGAUCGUGAUUAUUGGGCCUAAAGGGUCCGUAGCCGGUUUGGUCAGUCCUCCGGGAAAUCUGAUAGCUCAACUAUUAGGCUUUCGGGGGAUACUGCCAGACUUGGAACCGGGAGAGGUAAGAGGUACUACAGGGGGUAGGAGUGAAAUCUUGUAAUCCCUGUGGGACCACCUGUGGCGAAGGCGUCUUACCAGAACGGGUUCGACGGUGAGGGACGAAAGCUGGGGGCACGAACCGGAUUAGAUACCCGGGUAGUCCCAGCCGUAAACGAUGCUCGCUAGGUGUCAGGCAUGGCGCGACCGUGUCUGGUGCCGCAGGGAAGCCGUGAAGCGAGCCACCUGGGAAGUACGGCCGCAAGGCUGAAACUUAAAGGAAUUGGCGGGGGAGCACAACAACGGGUGGAGCCCUGCGGUUUAAUUGGACUCAACGCCGGACAACUCACCGGGGGCGACAGCAAUAUGUAGGCCAAGCUGAAGACUUUGCCUGAAUCGCUGAGAAGAGGUGCAUGG